rnacentral:lncRNA from 9 species
CCCGAGAGCAACACAUGGAAAGACAUUCGAUGUCCAUGGACAGAUGCUUGGCUGAGCAAGAAAACGGCGCAGAAAACGGUGCCAUGGGCAGCCACAGUGUUGCGGAGAGAAAUGCUCACACGAAAUGAAAGAGGUCUGGGAGGGAGACACACAGCCCAUGGGAAGCCCCUGCCCUCUCCCAUCUCACCAGGGACACCCAGGAACGGUCUUCCAGGAAAGCAAGCCCUGGACUGCCAUCCAGAUGGUGCUUGCCAAAUGGGAGGGUGAGGCUGUGGGAAUGCCUGGCAUUGGGGAGGUCCGAGAUCCAAACCCUUGCCCUGGACGGGGGGUGCCAGAGCCCUCCUUCCAUGCAGCAGAUGCUACGAGGUCUAGUCCCUCUUCUUGGAACCCAAGGGAGGAGAAGGGGAGCCAAACAGGAUGGAUAGGCAUGGCCGAUGGGAUCCCUUGGUUGGGAAACUGCAAUGGAUCCACUUCGGUCAGCGGCCAGCCAAUAGGAGUCCUGACCAUUCCACCCCAACACAGGAGCGCUCAGCGCUCCCCAGAGAAGGUGUCACGCUCGAGAGUGCUGCCCCUCGGGAAAAGCGAUGGGCCGAAGGAUUCCGUGGAUUCCGUCCAGAUGGCCUAGCCUAGCCCAUCGGACCCGACCGAAUUCCCUGGCGGGGAGGAAGGGAUGAGGAUAAAGACAUGCUUCGUUUGGAGUGGAGUGACUUCCCCAGGUAUUCUCCUGCACCCGUGUGUGGCAUGCACAUCCACUCUGCUCGGCCAAAGCAUCCACUCCCAGGCUGGGCCUCCCCAGGCUGGCCCUUCCAACCCACUCCCACCCAAGGAGAGACUUAGGCUCAGGAGAGACUUAGGAUGGAUUUGUCUCUCCAGGUCCUAGCUCUUGUUUCCUACUCUAUCUGCAUGCGUGUGCGUGUGGGUGUGUGUGGAGAGAGAGAGAGAGAGAGAGUGAGGGAGAAUGAGAGAAAGAGUGAGAGAACGAGGGAGAGAAAGAGAGAUGGACCUUCCCUCCUUUCUGGAUCCAUUCAGCUCAUUCAUUUCAAUGCCUCUUCUUCCUUGUCCGUGGAUUUGGGUGCCCUGUGCCACACGGAGAUGUGGUCUAGCCAGAGGGGGAUCGCCCAGUGCAGCUCUUGC